rnacentral:rRNA from 1 species
AUUGAACGCUGGCGGCAGGCCUAACACAUGCAAGUCGAACGAGUGGCGGACGGGUGAGUAAUGUCUGGGAAACUGCCUGAUGGAGGGGGAUAACUACUGGAAACGGUAGCUAAUACCGCAUACCAUCAGAUGUGCCCAGAUGGGAUUAGCUAGUAGGUGGGGUAAAGGCUAACCUAGGCGACGAUCCCUAGCUGGUCUGAGAGGAUGACCAGCCACACGGGAACUGAGACACGGUCCAGACUCCUACGGGAGGCAGCAGUGGGGAAUAUUGCACAAUGGGCGAAAGCCUGAUGCAGCCAUGCCGCGUGUGUGAAGAAGGCCUUCGGGUUGUAAAGUACUUUCAGCGGGGAGGCGUUACUCGCAGAAGAAGCACCGGCUAACUCCGUGCCAGCAGCCGCGGUAAUAC